UAUUUUUUUACAUAUAUAAUUAUUUUUCCCUCGUUUUUCAAAUUGUAAUUUAUAUAUAUGUAUAUUUUUAUAUGUAACGUUUAUGUAAAAAAAAAUUUAUUGAGCUUGGAGAUAAGACCAAAUGUGUUUACUUGUGUUUAUGUUGCUCCAGCUUUUUAUUUUAAAAGCAAGAUAUACUUGUGUCGUAAUUUUUAUAUAUGCAUGUUGUAAUUUAAUAUAUGGAUUGUUUAUAUUCUUUAACGGCAAAUAAAGAAUAAGAAUAAAAAAUGAAACAAUACUGCAAUUUUAUUCACCAAAAGGAUCUCUCUUACAUAGUUGUUUUGGAUUUAUCGAUGGUACAGAUUGAGGAGUUGCUAAACCAUUAGGAGUUAGCUAUAAUGGAGAUAAGAAAAAAAAAGCCUGCUCCACUUACCUAGUUAGGAAACAAGAUUAUGAGUCAGAAGGGCCAUUCACAACGGGAUAUGAGCUUUAUUAAAAAUAUUUUUUGCGGCAUCACAUAAAUGUUUUUUUAUGGCAUCAUAAGCACGGUAAAGACACUGUAUUUUUUAUAAUACGUUAAAGUGAUGUUUGCUGUCGAAAUUGAAACAUUCAGGUUUUAUCGAUCAAAGAUUAUUAUUUAAAAAAAAAUAGUAUAAUGUA